rnacentral:rRNA from 1 species
AAAGACUGACGCUCAUGCACGAAAGCGUGGGGAUCAAACAGGAUUAGAUACCCUGGUAGUCCACGCUGUAAACGAUGAUCACUCGUUGUUGGCGAUAUACUGUCAGCGACUGAGGGAAACCAUUAAGUGAUCCACCUGGGGAGUACGGCGGCAACGUUGAAACUCAAAGGAAUUGACGGGGGCCCGCACAAGCGGAGGAGCAUGUGGUUUAAUUCGAUGAUACGCGAGGAACCUUACCUGGGCUUAAAUGCAGGACGACGUAUGCCGAAAGGCGUAUUUCCUUCGGGACGUCUUGCAAGGUGCUGCAUGGUUGUCGUCAGCUCGUGCCGUGAGGUGUCGGGUUAAGUCCCAUAACGAGCGCAACCCUUAUCAUUAGUUGCCAUCAGGUAAUGCUGGGAACCCUAAUGAAACUGCCUACGCAAGUAGUGAGGAAGGUGGGGAUGACGUCAAAUCAGCACGGCCCUUAUGUCCAGGGCGACACACGUGCUACAAUGGCCAGUACAGAGGGUUGCAAA